rnacentral:rRNA from 1 species
CCCUUAGAUGUUCUGGGCUGCACGCGCGCUACACUGAUGCGCUCAACGAGUUUUAACCUUGCCUGGAAAGGUUGGGUAAUCUUUUUAAAACGCAUCGUGAUGGGGAUAGAUUAUUGCAAUUAUUAAUCUUCAACGAGGAAUUCCUAGUAAGCGCGAGUCAUCAGCUCGUGCUGAUUACGUCCCUGCCCUUUGUACACACCGCCCAUCGCUCCUACCGAUUGAGUGAUCCGGUGAAUAAUUCGGACUGCGGCAUUGACCGGUUCCCGAUCGUUGCUGCGGAAAGUUUAGUGAACCUUAUCACUUAGAGGAAGGAGAAGUCGUANCA